AUCAACUAGAAAUCUAUUUUCACAUCAUAUUGACGUUAAACUUUUUACUUUUAUCAUUUAUUACUCAGAAUGCUAGUAGGGUACAAUUUUCAUCAAAUAAAAAAUCUAUUUAUCAUAUAAAAAUGUAGAUCUUGAUGAAUACACCCUUUAACCAAACCCAAGAUGGUCCCAAAUGGACAAGUCAUGAAUACAAAGAUUAUUACACUCAUCAAGUUCUACAUUUGGUCUAAUGGUGAACUUUUCAUUUAGAAAAGUUUGAACCACUCAAUUUUGAAUUUUGAAAGAAUUCAUAGCCACGCAUCGGUUUCGGAACCCUAAAUGGUCUCGAAUGGAAAAGUCAUGAAUACCAAUAUUGUUUCACUCAUCAAAAUCUACAUUUAAUAUAUAGACUAUUUUUACCUUUGACAAAGUGUUGGGAAGGAGUAGUUGAAAAUCCAC
rnacentral:lncRNA from 1 species